GGUUUGGAAGCAUUUAAAAGGGCAAAAGGAAACUUACAAGGAAGUGAUGAUGGAGAGUCACCACCCCCUCAUCUCACUGGGUGAGACAACUGUAGCGGAUAGCCCCAGGCGACCCUACAAAUAUACUGUUUUACCUGCAUUCGUGUAUCUGCUGUGUUUUCUAUGUAUUAAAGUGAAUUGUAUUCCUCUGAUUGUUCGGUAGUUUCAUUCCCUUAGUUUAUUCGAAUGAAACUACCGAACAACCAGACCUCCCCUGUGUGAAGUGUGUCCUCAAUUACCUGUUGCAACAUUGUUGCGAAUGGGUAAUUGAACAGUAAGUAGCCGUCCUUUGUUCUCGGGGGUGGCCGCCAUUCGACAAACGAACACGUGGCGGCGGCCAUUUUAAAACUCCCGAACAGCGGUGUUUUGCCGUCGAGUGUCUGGAACUAAAAUCAGACACUCGAGUAGGCGAACACCGCUGAGACCUCCACAGCCCUGGUCCGUUCGGUUCCAAACUACCGAACGGCCCCUCGUUCGGUAGAUAGAAAAUACCGAACGAGGGGAUUCAGGCGAACCCUCCCUAGCCUCUAUAGCUAGAGGUUUUCGUGUAUUUUAUUCCCUUAUGCCAGGACCGACCGCAGGGCCCAUUCGCAUGGAACCGGAUUCGGCUAUCUCAGUUAGUGCGGUCGGUCAUUUUAUUCCCUCCAUACAUUUCCCGAACCCCUGGUCUGAUCUGGGUGAUUUUUGGAUAUGUUGUUCACCCAGAUCAGGGGUAUCCGGGGAUGUAGGAUUUAAAGUGGUACCCCUACGUUUAGGGGUACAUCCAGAAACGGGGGGAAUGGGUGUGCUGGAUAAGAGGAUUAUGAUGCUGGCUGAGGGGAGGAGAUGUGUGGGAGGUUACCAGGACAGGAUUGGCUACUGUAAUAAUUACUGUAAGUUCCUCCCUUGCAUGGGAGCAUGCUUUAUAAGGAGACUGUGGAUUAAAGCUUUCAGAUCUGCUCCUGAAACUGUGUGUCGUCCAGUUAUUGGGAUUGCUGUUGGGAUAUUGCUGUAUUUUACCUGCUGGAAGCCUUGCCUGUGGAUUUACUAUUUACUUGUUCCUGAGUCCCACUUGGAUUAUAAGCGGAGAUAACCUGGGUAUUAUUGCAUCUCCGCUACAACAACGUUUAAUCAGCAAUGUGUUUGACUGUAGAGCAGAUAUCAUAUUCACUUACAUUAUUAAAUAGCUGGAAACAGGUACACAGUGUGACAUUUGUAGAUGGAUUACACACUGGUAAAGUGCACAAAUAAAAUAAUUGUGUUAUAUUUUGCAUGGAUUACAGAGAAGAAGUAAUGUCCACAUAUGAUGGCCACCUAGCCUUUGUUAGUUCCCUCUUUCAGUUAGGCUGUUCUCUGAAGUAUCUGUGAAUCCUGAUGGCAAGUUGAUAGCUACCAGUUCAGUCCUAUUCUCUCUUGAUAGCUCAUGAAGCCUUGUGUAAGCUUCCAUUGGAAAAUGAAGGCUUACUGGAGUAGAAGCCCUUUUGGCUCAUCUAGUCUCAGGAAUGUACAUUUGUAUUCCUGACACUAUAGUGUUCCUUUAACCACUCCAAUCUGAGAUUAUGACUUUAGAACUCUCUAAUGAGAGCUCUCCCUCUGAUUCUCUGCCGGGUGAGAUUGAAUCCAUUACUUCUGUAUAUGAAGCAUUGCAAUGCCAAAUGUGAAGACUUUCUAAUAUGGUGAAUCUUCAGAAGGUAGCGUUUCUAAUCGUUGUGUGAUUGACAGUCUGACAGCCACUGUAAAAAUUGCUGUUUUUAAUCAACGGCAUUGUUUACGUAUGUCAGACUGCAGGGUCUAUAGACCAAAAAUACAACAAUAACGUAGUUGUUUUUCUUCUUGAGUCUCACUGGGUAUCCUUUUCAGUAAACUCAGUCUCAGAUUAUUAGACUGCAGGUGCAUUUUUUUUCUUUCUGCUUAAUGUCUUUAUUGCAUGUUAUUGUACCGGUUUUUCAUUUACUACUCCAUUGUGGCGCAUUAUAACUCCCAGUACAAUAAUAAUAAAACCACACGGGAGAGAGAACAUCAAGUUAAAAAUACCACCUAGACCUCUAGAUCUCUGCCUUUUUAUGAUGUCGGUUAACAAAAUGUCCUAAUUGUGAGUAUUUUCUUUCCAAUAGUUGGCUCCACACACAGAAAUGAAAAUGGGGAAUUUUACACUUCAGUUUCUUCUCUGGAUUUUACAACCGAAGAUAAUAAGAGAACAAUUAAUCAAAACAUGAGCUGUGUUGCAGUCAGUACAUCAAGCGGUACAUUUUUGAGUCGUGAAACUACAAAAUCCAAGGAAGUAAAUCUCCGAGACAUCAAUACGCCCAUAGAACAUAAACAGACUGAAGAUCCGUCUACUCAUAUUAAGGAGGAAUCAGACUCGUGUGAAGAGGGAAAUCUCCCAGACACAGACAUUUAUACACCCGCAGAAGAUGCACAGAUAGAAUAUCCAUCGACUUAUAUCAAGGAGGAAUCAGUCUCAUUGGAAGAAACAAAUGUUGCUGAAGCUGCCAUUUAUACAAUCAAUAGAGAUAUACAAAUGGACUAUACAUCAAAGUGUGAAUCUGCAUCAAAUGAUGAUCAAAUUCUCAUAAGCAAUAAUAUUUAUACAGGCACAGACCAUACAGAGGCAGAAUCUGAGGAAGAACAUCUCAUAGACAUUAAUACGCCCAUAGAAUAUUUGCAGAGUGAAUAUCCAUUUACUCAUAUUAAGGAGGAAUCAGACUCGUGUGAAG
rnacentral:lncRNA from 1 species